rnacentral:rRNA from 1 species
UUCUCUUAGAAAAAAUUAAGAGUAUCCUCUGCUCAAUGAUUUAUAAAUAGCAGCAGAUUUUCUGUUCUAAGGUAGCAUAAUCAAUUGUCUUAUUAAUUGUAGACUAGUAUGAAGGAGGGAAUAAUUUAUAGCUUUAUUUUUUGUAUUGAUUGAAAUUAAUAUUUUAAUAAAAAAGUUAAAAUAAAAUAUAGGGACAAGAAGACCCUAUAAAGCUUAAAAGAAUUUUUUGAAAUAAUACCAAAAAAUUAAUUUUUAAUUGGGGCAAUAUAUUAUGAUAAAAAUUAUAAUAAAAAUAAAAAAAAUUUAUAUUAGUGAUCCUUUAUUUAAGAUAAAUUGAAAAAGUUACUUUAGGGAUAACAGGAUAAUUUUUCUAAGAAAGCACAAAUUUUUAAGAAAGAUUAUUACCUCGAUGUUGAAUUAAUUUUAUAAUAAGAAGAAGAAGUUUUAUAUAUUUGACUGUUCGUCAAUUAAAAAAUUACA